rnacentral:rRNA from 1 species
AUGGCGAUGGCGGCGGCAUCAGCGGGCGGCGAGCCGGUAGAGCCGCAGUCGUUGAAGAAGCUGAGUCUCAAGUCGCUGAGACGCUCCCUCGACCUCUUCGCGCCCACCCACUCCCUCCCCUUCGCUCCCGACGCCGAGAGCAAACGGAUUCGCGUCAGCUGCAAGGUGAAUGCGGAGUACGGCGCGGUCAAGAACCUGCCGACCGACCAGGACCGAGCGCAGGGGAAGGGCGCCGCCGCUCCUUCCAAUGCAUUGGCGCUUCUAGGCACACAAGACACAAAAGAUGCUCCUAGGGAAGGCACUAGUAAUGCCAUUAUCCCUGCACCGCUUAUGCUUCCUAAAGCACCUGAAUCUGCAGUGCCUGGCAAAAAUACAACCGUAUUGUCGGUUCCUGGGUCAUCUGAUAGAUUCUCGACAUCUGCACUGAUGGAAAGGUUGCCAAGUAGAUGGCCUAAACCUGUAUGGCAUGCUCCCUGGAAGAACUAUCGGGUUAUCAGUGGCCACUUGGGCUGGGUGCGAUCUAUAGCAUUUGAUCCAGGCAAUGAAUGGUUCUGUACUGGUUCUGCUGAUAGAACAAUAAAGAUAUGGGACCUGGCAUCAGGAAUGUUGAAGCUGACACUAACUGGUCAUAUUGAACAAGUCCGACUUGCUGUCAGUCAGCGGCACACAUAUUUAUUUUCUGCUGGUGAUGACAAACAAGUAAAAUGUUGGGAUCUUGAACAAAAUAAGGUUAUUCGGUCUUAUCAUGGGCAUCUGAGUGGGGUUUACUGCUUAGCUCUCCAUCCAACAAUUGAUGUCUUGCUGACAGGUGGUCGAGAUUCAGUUUGCAGGGUGUGGGAUAUCCGAACAAAGGCUCAUGUUUCUGCUUUAACUGGACAUGAUAACACAGUUUGUUCAGUGUUUGCUCGGCCAACGGAUCCACAAGUUGUCACUGGCUCACAUGAUACAACUAUCAAGUUCUGGGAUCUUGUAGCUGGGAAAACUAUGUGUACUCUUACACACCAUAAGAAGUCUGUUCGGGCCAUGGCACUACAUCCAAAAGAGAAAUCAUUUGCUUCAGCAUCUGCCGACAACAUAAAAAAGUGGAGUCUGCCCAAAGGCGAAUUUCUGCACAACAUGCUGUCCCAGCAAAAAACAAUUCUAAAUGCAAUGGCUGUUAAUGAGGAUGGUGUCCUGGCAACUGCAGGGGAUAAUGGAAGCAUGUGGUUUUGGGAUUGGAAGAGCGGCCACAAUUUUCAGCAAGAACAGACUAUUGUCCAGCCUGGAUCAUUGGAGAGUGAAGCAUGUAUAUAUGCCCUUUCUUAUGAUAAUAGUGGAUCAAGGCUUGUGACAUGCGAGGCAGAUAAAACAAUAAAGAUGUGGAAAGAAGAUUUAACAGCAACACCAGAAACCCACCCUGUCAACUUCAAGCCACCAAAAGACAUCCGGAGAUAUUGA